rnacentral:rRNA from 1 species
UACAGAGGUCUCAAGCGUUGUUCGGAUUCAUUGGGCGUAAAGGGUGCGUAGGCGGCGCGGUAAGUCGGGUGUGAAAUCUCGGAGCUUAACUCCGAAACUGCAUUCGAUACUGCCGUGCUUGAGGACUGGAGAGGAGACUGGAAUUUACGGUGUAGCGGUGAAAUGCGUAGAUAUCGUAAGGAAGACCAGUGGCGAAGGCGGGUCUCUGGACAGUUCCUGACGCUGAGGCACGAAGGUCAGGGAGCAAACGGGG